rnacentral:lncRNA from 12 species
AUGGUGGCCCGAGCCUGUGGAUAUGCUACAGGUCAUGGAGCGUCUCGCUGUGACAGGUGCGUCGUAGCUCCACAGAGCUACUUGGAAGGCCCAGGGCAGGGCGGCCGCCCCGGUCCCCGCCGCACCUGGCGGCACCCCGCGAGCAGGCUCCGCGCCGCCCCGCCUCGCGCCUCCCAGGCCCCGGGGCGGCCGCUCCCGCAGCAGGUGGCCGGGCCGCGCCUCCGGCGCCGGCGGGGCGGGGCGUGUGCGCGGCGGCGCCAGCGCGCGGGGCCGAGGGGGUGUGGCGGGGCGCGCGGGCCGGGGGCGCGGGGGCGGGGCAGAGAGGCGCGGCCGCGGCCAUUGUGCGGGGGGGCGGGGGCGGGGGCGGCGCGCCUCCGGGCCCCCCGCCCGCCCGCCGGCCUCCCCGGGCGCCCCCGCGCGGCGCGGUGGUACGGUCCGGGCUUAAAAGGCCCCGGCGGCCGCGGGCCUGCCCAGUGUGUGGGCGGCGGCGGGGGCGCGCGCGGGGCGCGGCGGCGGGGGCGCGCGCGCGGGGCCGCGGUGGGGCUCGGGGGCGCGUCCACGUGGCUGGCGGGCGGCCACCCGGAGCCGCGGCGGCGGAGGGACGGGCAGGUAGGUGGCCCCCGCGCCCCGCCGCCCGCGCGCGGCCAGGCGGCUCGGCGGCCCGGGGCUCGGCCUCGGGGUCGGGCCCUGCCCGUGGGGCGCCGCGGGCGCCGGCCUCGCCGGAGCUUCGUGCCCAGCGCCCCGAGGACGGCCGGUCCGAGCCCUGCUCCCGGCCCCAUGGGGACCCUUUGUGGCCGAGGAGCGGCCCCUGCAAGGACUGCGGCGGCGCCUGCGCCCACUCGGCACUCGGGCCCGGCCGGGGGUGCCCCUGCGCGGGCAGGGCUGCGGGCCGCGGCACGGAGGGCGCUGCGGACGGGCGCUGCAGCCGCCCCGGGCUCGGGCCGCCCCCUCGGGCUUCCGCUUACAGGUGGACGUUGGGCCGGGGGUGCGCAGCCUGCCCCUGCCCCCCCUCCCGGCCUGCGUGCGCCUCCAUCCCUGCGGGGCGUGCAGGAGGUUGGGGUGCGAUGCGGCCCCCUUGCCUUGCGCCCCCCUUCCUUCCCUGGCCGUGGCAUCGGGGGUCCAGCAUGCAGACCCGACAAAAGAGCCCCGAGAGACGAGCAGCGUGAACCGGACUCUGCGGCCUCGAGCAGGGCCUGUUCCUUGUUCUAG